UUGCCUUUAUAGCAGGGGAGAAUGUAGCCGGGUGGGAAAAUGUAAUGUAACUGGUUACUAAUGCCACCAGAUGGCACUGUCUCAAUUUGGGGAACUGUUUAGAGAAUGGUCUUUGAAAACCGCAAGUCGCCAUCUUGCUUACUGUGAUGCAGACCCGCUACGCUUUUCAGAUGUUGCUGGACUGUUAAUGAAGACGCUGGCAGAUGAAAGAGACUCAAUGGUUGUAAUAUGGCUACUGUCCCGCCAUUAAUGCUGGUUGGGCUCUGGGACAAAUACACAAGAAAAUGGCUGAAGCCAGUAUUUCAGUAGGUCAGGACCACUUCAUCUGUCCAGUGUGUCUGAACCUACUG